rnacentral:rRNA from 1 species
GACGAACGCUGGCGGCGUGCUUAACACAUGCAAGUCGAACGGAAAGGCCCUGCUUUUGUGGGGUGCUCGAGUGGCGAACGGGUGAGUAACACGUGAGUAACCUGCCCUUGACUUUGGGAUAACUUCAGGAAACUGGGGCUAAUACCGGAUAGGAGCUCCUGCUGCAUGGUGGGGGUUGGAAAGUUUCGGCGGUUGGGGAUGGACUCGCGGCGUAUCAGCUUGUUGGUGGGGUAGUGGCUUACCAAGGCUUUGACGGGUAGCCGGCCUGAGAGGGUGACCGGCCACAUUGGGACUGAGAUACGGCCCAGACUCCUACGGGAGGCAGCAGUGGGGAAGAUUGCACAAUGGGCGGAAGCCUGAUGCAGCAACGCCGCGUGCGGGAUGACGGCCUUCGGGUUGUAAACCGCUUUCGCCUGUGACGAAGCGUGAGUGACGGUAAUGGGUAAAGAAGCACCGGCUAACUACGUG